rnacentral:ncRNA from 1 species
CCCCCGCUUUUCCUCCCUGAGCGGGGCCUUCGUGUGCAGCGAUGCGACGAAAGGCUUGUCCGCCCGGCAGCAUGCCGGGCUUUUUUUG